rnacentral:rRNA from 1 species
AGAGUUUGAUCCUGGCUCAGAUUGACCGCUGGCGGUAUGCCUUACCCAUGCAGGUCGAACGGCCGCCCGGAGGUUGCUCUGGUGGCAAGUGGCGAACGGGUGUGGAUGAUWUCCUUGCGUACCCUAUAAGUGGGGGAUAACGSAUUGAAAGUUACGCUAAUCCCGCAUACGAUCUAAGGAUGAAAGUGGGGGAUCGCAAGACCUCAUGCUCGUGGAGCGGCCGAUAUCUGAUUAGCUAGUUGGUAKGGUAAAAGCCUACCAAGGCAUCGAUCAGUAGCUGGUCUGAGAGGACGACCAGCCACACUGGAACUGAGACACGGUCCAGACUCCUACGGGAGGCAGUAGUGGGGAAUUUUGGACAAUGGGCGAAAGCCUGAUCCAGCAAUGCCGCGUGAGUGAAGAAGGCCAUCGGGUUGUAAAGCUCUUUUGUCAGGGAAGAAACGGUGAAAGCUAAUAUCUUUUGCUAAUGACGGUACCUGAAGAAUAAGCACCGGCUAACUACGUGCCAGCAGCCGCGGUAAUACGUAGGGUGCAAGCGUUAAUCGGAAUUACUGGGCGUAAAGCGUGCGCAGGCGGUUUUGUAAGUCUGAUGUGAAAUCCCCGGGCUCAACCUGGGAAUUGCAUUGGAGACUGCAAGGCUAGAAUCUGGCAGAGGGGGGUAGAAUUCCACGUGUAGCAGUGAAAUGCGUAGAUAUGUGGAGGAACACCGAUGGCGAAGGCAGCCCCCUGGGUCAAGAUUGACGCUCAUGCACGAAAGCGUGGGGAGCAAACAGGAUUAGAUACCCUGGUAGUCC